AUUCUGCCAGUCAAGCCGCCUCCUCCCCCUUUCCCUUCUCUCCUCUGGGCUCUCCUCCCUUUCUCCCCACGCUCCCAAGUCAGUCUCCCUCUCCUCCCCUCUCCCCAAGCUCCCUGGGAGCCUCCCCUCUGCUGACAUCGAUUCCUAUGCAGCUAUGCAAACGAGGGGGCGGGAGGGAUCAGCUGGCGAGGUUUGGGACCACUAGAGAUCUCUUCAGGUCUCUCUCUAGGCAGAAAGCCCACCUCGUGGAAAAAGAGAGACUUUUGUUUUAUCGUUCAUUUUUUAAUUCUGCUUCCAGAGGAGAUGGGGGGUGGGGGUGGAGACGGUGUAGGUAGAGAAGAGGAAAAAAAAUUAAGGACGAGCCAUUGUCGCAUUCCGAUGGGAUUCUUUUUCUUGCUCCCUCUCGGGCUCGGCGCUCUUGGGAAAGAGAGUGUGAAGCGACCCUCGGAUCAACCUUGGCGCUGGCGUAGUCGGGACUACUUUCUCCGGGCUCCGCGCCCGGCGGAGGGUGAGCACCGCGAUCCUUUGUGCUGCUGCGUCUCCUUGCAGGUGAACCAUCUGGAACGGAGGGGUCAGGGCGCCAGCAUGGGGUGCGGGAUCUGGACUGGACAGAAAAACGGAGCUCGUCGGGUGACGCAACCUAAUGACUGCUUUCUGAGAUUACAUGUAGUUUCUCCAGCCUAUCCCUUCUUUGUACAUGAUUGGUUUGCUUGUUGUUCCCCCACCCCCAUUUAGACUGUGUGCUCCUUGAGAGCAGGGUCUUGCACUCCGGUGCACACUUAUCUCAGUGCCUGGCACAAAGUAGUCGUGCAACAAAUAUUUAUAAACUGACAUCCCUUGGGGUAUCCAGUCCUGCUUUCGCCGCCUUCAACUAACAGCCCAUGCCAAAAGCUUCCACAGCCACUCCAGAGGGGCUGGUCAGCUGAGAGCUAGCUUCAGCAUUUUCCGAAAGGAAGGAAGGAUUGAAAGACUAGUCUCAUCGAAACUACUCAAGCCCAGCCUGGGACCGGAGGCAAGGGAAAUUACUGGAUUUUGUUGUCCCGGGCUCCCAGAAAUUCAUGAUGCCCCUAAAGUUCAACUUCACACCAAAGAAAGGGGAACUGCCUGAGAAGGAUUCCAAGAACAAAGUUGCUAAGUGCUCAUCCUAUGGAGAAAAUCUGGGGAUAGUUCUGAACCAUAGCCCUUCUGGGAGACAAGCCCUUUAAUAAAUGGAAUGCACAAAAGAGAGUCCUUGUUGGUCCCCUUACACUACAUCUUCCUAUAUCAUAUUGGAAUGCUACAUGAAAGAGGGUAGGCUUCUAAGCACCAAGAACUGACAAUUCAGUAGAUUUUAAAGGGAAAGACAACUUCCACUCCCAAUCUUGUCUAAACAUGUAACUUGGAACUCCAACAGUCUUCUUUUGGAAGGAUGGAGAGGUGAAUUCUCUUCUCCUCCUCCAGCAUCAAAUGGCAACUGAUCACACAAAACAAUAACUGUAUUUGUUCAUCUAUGUGAGACUAAGAUUGGCUUUAAAGGUCUCUGCUUUGUUUUUCUCUCUAUAAGCACAAGGACCAAAUAGCAAACCUGGGAAAGGAAUUUGCUACCCAGGAAGAUCAGGAGUUUCUCUGUUAGUGCUACAUACCCUGAGGGAGGCGCUCCUACUAUGAAGUUCCUAGAUAGAGAUGUCCAACAACAAGAGAAUAUGUCAUGAGUGCUGUAGUAUACUAUUCAGUAAAUCCUUCUCUAUCAUA